GACAACGCUGGCGGCGUGCCUAACACAUGCAAGUCGAGCGGAGUCGAUCGACGGAAGCCUUCGGGCGGAAGAUGGUUGACUUAGCGGCGGAUGGGUGAGUAACGCGUGGGCAACCUGCCUCGAAGACCGGGAUAACAGCCCGAAAGGGCUGCUAAUACCGGAUGUGGUCAAGGAUCCGCAUGGAUUUUUGAUUAAAGGGGAAACCCGUUUCGAGAUGGGCCCGCGUCCCAUUAGCUAGUUGGUGGGGUAAAGGCCUACCAAGGCGACGAUGGGUAGCCGGCCUGAGAGGGUGGACGGCCACACUGGGACUGAGACACGGCCCAGACUCCUACGGGGGGCAGCAGUAGGGAAUCUUCGGCAAUGGGCGGAAGCCUGACCGAGCGACGCCGCGUGAGGGACGAAGGCCUUCGGGUUGUAAACCUCUGUCUGGGGGGACGAGUAAGGACGGUACCCCCGGAGGAAGCCCCGGCUAACUACGUG
rnacentral:rRNA from 1 species